rnacentral:rRNA from 1 species
AUUGAACGCUGGCGGCGUGCUUAACACAUGCAAGUCGAUCGGUAACAGGUGUAGCAAUACAUGCUGACGAGAGGCGGACGGGUGAGGAACGCUUGGGAAUCUGCCUAUCAGCGGGGGACAACCCGGGGAAACUCGGGCUAAUACCGCAUACGCUCUACGGAGGAAAGCCGGGGACCGCAAGGCCUGGCACUGAUAGAUGAGCCCAAGUCGGAUUAGCUAGUUGGCGGGGUAACGGCCCACCAAGGCGACGAUCCGUAGCUGGUCUGAGAGGACGAUCAGCCACACCGGAACUGAGACACGGUCCGGACUCCUACGGGAGGCAGCAGUGGGGAAUAUUGGACAAUGGGCGCAAGCCUGAUCCAGCAAUGCCGCGUGCAGGAAGAAGGCCUUCGGGUUGUAAACUGCUUUUGUACGGAACGAAAAGGUUUGGGUUGAUACCCUGGGCCGAUGACGGUACCGUAAGAAUAAGCACCGGCUAACUACGUGCCAGCCGCCGCAGUAAAAC